GUCCCAGCUGUAAACGAUGCUCACUAGGUGUUGGGGGGUUACUCCCUCAGUGCCGCAGCUAACGCAUUAAGUGAGCCGCCUGGGGAGUACGGCCGCAAGGUUGAAACUCAAAGGAAUUGACGGGGGCCCGCACAAGCGGUGGAGCAUGUGGUUUAAUUCGAUGCUAAGCGAAGAACCUUACCAGGGUUUGACAUGCAGGCAGUACCGAACUGAAAGGGGAGGGACUCGUAAAGUCGAGAUCCUGCACAGGUGGUGCAUGGCUGUCGU
rnacentral:rRNA from 1 species